CGCGGCCUAUCAGCUUGUUGGUGGGGUGAUGGCCUACCAAGGCGACGACGGGUAGCCGGCCUGAGAGGGUGUCCGGCCACACUGGGACUGAGAUACGGCCCAGACUCCUACGGGAGGCAGCAGUGGGGAAUAUUGCACAAUGGGCGCAAGCCUGAUGCAGCGACGCCGCGUGAGGGAUGACGGCCUUCGGGUUGUAAACCUCUUUCAGUAUCGACGAAGCGCAAGUGACGGUAGGUACAGAAGAAGCACCGGCCAACUACGUGCCAGCAGCCGCGGUAAUACGUAGGGUGCGAGCGUUGUCCGGAAUUACUGGGCGUAAAGAGCUCGUAGGUGGUUCGUCGCGUUGUUCGUGAAAACUCACAGCUCAACUGUGGGCGUGCGGGCGAUACGGGCAGACUGGAGUACUGCAGGGGAGACUGGAAUUCCUGGUGUAGCGGUGGAAUGCGCAGAUAUCAGGAGGAACACCGGUGGCGAAGGCGGGUCUCUGGGCAGUAACUGACGCUGAGGAGCGAAAGCGUGGGGAGCGAACAGGAUUAGAUACCCUGGUAGUCCACGCCGUAAACGGUGGGUACUAGGUGUGGGUUUCCUUCCUUGGGAUCCGUGCCGUAGCUAACGCAUUAAGUACCCCGCCUGGGGAGUACGG
rnacentral:rRNA from 1 species